rnacentral:lncRNA from 9 species
AUGCUCUCCCAGCUCUCCACCGCCCUGGUGACUUCCUCACGCUGGGGCCACCGGCCUUUCUGGUUCCCCUUCGGCAAAUACACUCCUCUCCUCCAGAGACCGAUUUCCACGGAAUCCAUGGCCACAGGGCGCCUUCUAGAGAGGCUGUCUGUCGAGCAGGGUGUGGCAGAAAGGAGGCACAGUCUCAGGAUGACGUUAGAAAUGGGAACAAGACACAGAGACAGCAGAAGAGCCCGUGAACAUGCCAAGUGUUUGAGAACAUUUCUAUUGGUGGAGGGACAGACCUCAGAAAGAUCAGGAGGCCAGACACAGAGCACCUGCUGUGUGCCAGGCUUGAGGCAAAGUGCUGGAGGGGUCGGGGGUCAGAUGGCACCUUGUCUCCAGGGCGUUUGCAGCCUCUCAGUGCACAGAGAAUCACACCAAACAAGAGCACAGCAAAGAACGGAGCAUACGGGCGCACGUCACCAGGGAAAACCAUCCUGUACUGAGCUGGAAACGGUCCCGAGAGAUGACGUCUCGACAAGCAGGUGGGGAUCCAGAGAGAAACAAGCCCAGAGCGGCGGCCGGUUUCAGCCGCAACUUUCAGCCGGUUGCGACAUCCAAGGAAGGAAUUCUUUCCGGGCGGAAGAAGUUGCCUCUCCCCAGAUCUGUCCAGCGUGAGCGGGCAGCAGCCUCAGGGGAGGGAUGGAGAAGACACACGUACGCCCACGUACACACGUGCACACGCACCCUCGCACACCUGCACAGACGCACAUACUGCAAACACACACCCAUGAUCAUGUAGUUACACAGCGGGGCAGUUCUGGCAAGUGGGUCAUUGGAUUUUUGUUCUUCAGUUCAACCCUUCUUUCUAGAAACAGUGACCUACGGGCAUCAGAAAAGCGUCAGAAAAAUCCAGAAAAGGCACCCGCAGCGCUACCUCUAGGAAAAACAAGGGCGACCUUCGGCUCAUCUUUCCUUUGCACUUGUUAAGUGUAGACCCACUUGUACAAAAGCAAUUACUCUCCGUCCUGGGUUUCUCGUCCACUUACCAGUUUCUACCUCAGGUCUAUCCCCAUGUUUCUAAGUAGAAUUUUAAUCAUGACAAAACACCCUUUCAGGUGGCUGCUUCACAAUUUCCCUAAAGGCAUUGAAAUUGUUACACUUUUUCCAAAAAUAAAAUGAGUCACUGUCAUCACAUAUACCGUCUCUGUCUUGUUUGUUUGUUUUGUUUUGCGGAGCCCAUGGCCGUGCAAGUUCCCAGGCUAGGAAUCGAGUCCUCGCCAACAGCAGCCAUAAUAGGGGAUCCUUACCUGCUGCGCCCCCAGGGCACGCCUGUGUCUUCUGUCUCGGUCGCUCUCAGUUUCAGGGGUCUGUGACCUUCUCCUUAAAGGCUGGAAUUCAGUUCUCCACCCAUUAUGAUCUGAACAUCGUGAGUUUCCCAUGUCCCACCCCCACCCUCAUCCUCACCCCAGCGAGCUUGGCAAAAUGUUUCUCCCAACACGUGCGCUCUGUGCUCCGGUUGGGGGGCAAUUCGAGCAAAUUGAAAAAAUU